UACGUAGGGGGCAAGCGUUGUCCGGAAUCAUUGGGCGUAAAGAGCGUGUAGGUUGUCCGAUAAGUCUGCUGUGAAAGUCCAGGGCUCAACCCUGGGAUGCCGGUGGAUACUGUCGGGCUAGAGUGCGGAAGAGGCGAGUGGAAUUCCCGGUGUAGCGGUGAAAUGCGCAGAUAUCAGGAAGAACACCCGUGGCGAAGGCGGCUCUCUGGGACGGUACUGACGCUGAGACGCGAAAGCGUGGGGAGCGAACAGG
rnacentral:rRNA from 1 species